AGGGGAGGAGAAGAAGGGGUGAGAGGGGAAGGGAGGAAGGGGUGAGAAGGGAGGGGAGGAAGGGAUGAGGGGAGUGAGGGCCUCACCAGAGCAACAGUGGACAGCACAGCCUGCUGUCGGUCUUCCAGGCCAGGCAGUGCUGGAGCUUCAGCCUGGACAUUGAGAGACAAAAGCUAGGCUCUCUCUCCCUCCAGCCUGUGGGGAGGGGCUGGGCACCCUAGGAACAGGCUAAUGAGCAUGGGCAGGUGGCUCACACAUCAGGCCCCACUCUGAUUUUAGGGGCACCAACUGACCCUUUAGGGAGCUGGCCGACCCUUCCUGGGAAAGGUUGCAAGUAUCUACAGCCUUCAGUGACCCAACACCCCCCUACGCCCCCACAACAUCAAGGCUAGAACCUUCCCCUGCUGUCCCCACCUACCUAUGUCCCCCACUGUGUGGUGAGGCCUCCCUCACCCACUACUUAGCUGGCUGUUUCAUUUCUUGUCUUCUGUGCAGACUCACGCUGAUUUCUGAGCUGAGGCAGCCAAACGGGGUCCCUCUGCACACCAUAGGAGAGGAUUCCCUCAGCACAGUGCAGGCUGCCAGCAGCCAGCAUCGCUGCAAGCUCUGUCUAGGCUGGUCCCUGAGGAUGCCUAGGCAUGGUGGAACAGGAUGUCUGGUCAUGCAGAAACCAAGAGGAGAAAAGGCCAUUUGAUUUCAAACAGAGACAGGCCACAUCCUUUGGGUCCUUCAUUUGGCAAAGUGAGAGCGAGUCCUGGCAAAUGACAAGGUCCAAUAUCAAUUAGCACCUCCCAAAAGCUGCUGAGACCAGUCAAGACCAGUCAUUAUGCAGGGCUUCACCUCCACCCACAGUGGGUUAUUUACAUAAUAGCCUGCCCCUCAGGUUACCCUUCAUUAACAAACAUGUGCAAAACACAAGCAGCCGGCUGCAUCUCAUAAAUAUAUAUUGUUAACCUGGUAUAGACAGCUGACUUUCGCUUGCUCGGAAGAGAAGGGGCGAGAGGUGCCUUCUGCAGGCUGAGCCUCUUGGUCUGAGGCUCCAGUCCAUCCUUCAGAUGAAUUCUUCGGUUUAGGUUCCAGAAGCAAACGACUGGGCAGCGUAGAGUGGUUUUUCCUUCCUUUUUCUUCCUUCCUUCCUUCCUUCCUUCCUUCCUUCCUUCCUUCCUUCCUUCCUUCCUUCUUCCCUCCUUCCCUCCAUCCCUCCCUCCCUUCUGUGUGUGUGUGUGUGUGUGUGUGUGUGUGUAUGUGUGUGUGUGUGUGUGCUCGAGCAUGCUUGCACUUUCUCACUAACCUUCAGUCUCAUUCCUAAGUGCUGUCCACCUGGCUUUUUGAGGCAUGGUCUCUCACUGGGACCUUGCUGGCUGACUGACUAUCCUGGCUGGCUGGUCAGUGAGUGUCAGGGAUCCCCCUGUCUCUGCCUCCCCAGUGCUGGGAUUACAGGCACACCAAUAACACUCAGAUGUCAGGAUGAUUUCCUGAGUGGUUUCCAGCAGGAUUACCUUCAUCCCUCCUGGCGCUGGGAUUGGAGAGAGGACCAGAGAUGCACAGGUCUGUUCUGGAAAUGGAUACCCAAUGGAUGCAGAGCAGAGAAGCACAGCCUAUGUGGCUGCUUGUUUUGAGUGCCUCCUUCUUCACCCUGUUUUCUGGAACCCUGAGGACUUCUCUCCAUCCCUAAGAGGCUGAGGUGGGUGACUUUGGGGUGUGCUAGGUCACAGAGAAGAGUCACUCAGGUGGUGAGGCUAUAAGCCCAGGUUGAGGUGAGUGUUUGAAAGAUAAAGCUAUGCAGGAGCUGGACAGAUUCCCUCUUCAGCAUCACCCGUCUCUGCUCUGUUCCUUACAAAGGGAAUUCACACAGUAUCCAGCCAGUCCUCUCAGCCACCCUUGCAUGGAGCCUUGGAGACUCAAGGAUGGAGUGUGUAGACAGGAGGACUGGGGAAGGGGGCUGCAUCCGUAGCCUCGAGGAAGUCAUCAUCCACGCUGGGUUUCCACCCUGUGGGUGUGGCUGUUUCAGAGUCACCCACACUCAUGACCAUCAUCCUUUGCCUACCACUUUGUAGGUAAUCUUGUUAAACUCCCUGAUUCCCAGGGAAAUGUUUGUGGAGUGAACUGUGGUUUGUCCCUGGGACCUUAGAAGGAGGGAGGUAGAUGUUGUCUGGUUCCUUGGCUUUGUCCCAGCCACCCUGCAACCAAGGGAUAAAAUCCUUGCAACAGGUAGGCACAGCCUGCUUGUGGGUCCUGACUCACCCAGCCUGAGCUCCUCUGCGGAGUGAAGGCAGCCUUAGCCCAGCAGGGAAGGUCCUUUCAUCUUGUGAGCAGCCCAGGAAGCAGCAUUGCUGGGGCAGGGUCCUACUUCUGUGCCACAGGCUCAAACCCAGUGGUGUCUGCUGCUACCUCUGUCCACACCACGGCUCCUGGCACCAUCAAGAGGGCGUGUUGCUUGACAUUAAUCCCCCAGAAACCUUUUUAGCUCUCCGUUCAGUAUUUCCAAACCAAUUAAUAGCUCUGAGUUUGUGAAAAGGAUUGACAUUCGGGUUUUCCAUCGGGGACUCCCUCCAGUCCCAGCACCAAUCUGAUUUAGCAAAGAAAGAAAAGCAGAUAAUUUUUAGCUUGGGGGAGGCUGGAGGCAAUCACAAACACCCUUGAGCAGAGCCUCUGGUUUAAAGUGGUCACGGUGCUCCCCGCUCCCCGCUGUAAUUGGACUUUUGAGCCCCUUUAAUGUGAAAGGAGGACAGGUGGGGGUGGCUGUGAACUCUGUUACUUUGUGUUUCUUCCCUUCUGGGAGCUAAGGUGGGGCUCCAUUUAACUGGCAUGAGCCAGGAUGGUCUCAGCUUGGACGGCAUCCCACAACAUGCAGGAAACGAUGAUCAUUUAUGGUUCUGGGACACUGGGUAGUCAGCAUGGCCAGAGCAGGUGAAAAGCUGGAUAAUUCCUGCUCUAUCUUGAUCAAGCCAUUAAGUGUUAAACUAAGAGGCAGCUGCUUGCAGGGAUACAGCUGUGAUACGCAUGAAUGCAAGAGCGAAUGAGUUAAUGAUAGAAGAGCAAAUGAAUGUGGAAUGAGGUAAGAAGAGGGUGAAUGUGUGCAUCCAUACAAGAAUGAGAAUGCAAAUGAAAGUGUCUGAAUGAAUAAAUGGAUGGAUGGACUGAUGGAUGGAUGGAUAGAUAGAUGGAUGGAUGAAUGGAUGAAUGGACAGAUAGGCAGACGGAUGAAUGGAUGGAUGGACAAAUGGAAGGAUGGAUGAUGGAUAGAUGGAUGGAUGGAUAGAUAGACAGGCAGAUGGAUGAAUGGAUGGAUGGACUAAUGGAAGGAUGGAUAGAUGAAUAAAUGAAUGUAUGAAUGAAUCAAUCAAUCAAUAUACGUUCAGACAAAUGGAUGGAUGAAUGGAUAGAUGAAUGAAUGAAUUGACAGAUGGAUAGGCAGAUGGAUGGAUGGAUGGAUGGAUGGACAGAUGAAUGAAUGAAUGAACAGAUGGAUGGACAGAUGGACGGAUGGACGGAUGGACGGAUGGAUGGAUGGAUAGAUGGAUGGAUGGAUGAUGUGUGACACAUGGCUCUCUAGCCUGGCAUGGACAAGAACAAACAGAUUCACCAAUCCUUCCUGGGGCCCAGUUGAGAUACACAGUGGCUGACAGAGGUGCCCAUCUGUGGUGGGGCCAGCUAGGGAUGGGGCUUGAUGUUCUGGCAAGCAGGGCAGAUAAGGCUAGGAGUCCCUCCAUAGUGGGUGGAUUGGGGCUGGGCUGGGCCAGUCUGCCCUUACCACACUGGCAUUUGAUGUCAUCAUCCUUGAGGGAAAGACACAUGUGGGCUGUCAUGAAUCCUAAGGAUCCAUCCCACAUCUUCUUGGAACCCCUUUUGACAUCAGAAAGAGGACAAGGGGGUGGUGGAGAAUCACAGCUGGGGGUUACCCCAAUAGAGGCAGCUUUUAUGUAGGAAGCCUGAGAGACUCUAGGCUGGAAAUACAAGGCCUAAAGACAUUAUUAGCCUUGGGCUCUGGGGGAAAGGGCACUGAGAAAUCUGCUUGGGCUGAGGGUCAGGGUCUGGCCUUACCUCUAGAAGACACCCUUAGGGUUUUUACAGCUGUAAUAAAACACCCUGACCAAAACACAAAUUAGGGAUGCCAGGGUUUAUUUGGCUCAGUGUACAUCAUCCAAGGAAGUCAGGACAGGAACUCAAACAGGACAGGAACCUGCAGGCAAGAGCUGAUGCAGAGGCUAUGGAGGGGGCUGCUUACUGGCUUGUUCACAUUCCUUGGGUAGCCUGCUUUCUUAUAGAACCCAAGUUCACCUGCCCAGGGAUGGCUCCGCCCACAAUGGUCUGAGUCCUCCCCCAUCAAUCACUGAGAAAGUGCUCUACAGCCAGAUCUUGAUUGGCAUUAUUUUCUCCAUUGAUUUUCCACCUUUCAAAUGAUUCUAGCUUGUCUCAAGUUGACAUAAAACUAUCCAGCACACCCCCACUUCCACUGCACCAAACCUCUCCCCAGGGACACCUCAAACCUGUGGGGAGGAGAGACUAGACCAAGCAUAAGGCCAGAGGAGGGAACAGGAAGCCUCCGUGGGCCUUAUCUCUCUCCCUCACGCAGGGGCUUCUGAGGGGAGUGGGUUUCUGGCUUAGCUCUCCUCUUCAGGCCCUUACUUGUGUAGACAUAAAAACAUGGAAGUCCCAGCUUUGUUACAUGAAAGAACCAGACGUAUAAUCGAUUCCCUCAACUCCUAACCGUUUGGUCCCUGCUUUGGUUGUCUUCCAAUGGGAAAGUGCCAGGCACCUGGGCCGUCUUGAGUGUAGAGAGCCAGAAGUUAGGAGGUAUAUUGUUGCUAAGUGCUGGACCAUUGGCUCAGAGUCCCCAGAGCAGCCUGUGUGACUCUACUCAGGGUUGGAGCCUUGUGCAGAAGUGACCCUCAAGAUACACGGCUGGGUGGAGAGGGGCGUGCAGUCCUGUCUCCUCCUACCCUUGUGUGUGUGACAAUGUAGACUGCUCUAAGCGCUCUCUCCCUGGGCUAGGCAGCGCUCCUUCUAUACACACACACACACACACACACACACACACCCUUGCCCAAUGACCUGUCAUUCAGCAAAGGGAGGCCUGAGCAGGCCUGGGGACACAGGGGACCUAUCACUCCCUAGGUUCAGAGAUGCUGGGUCAGAUUCUUAGAAGUCUCUCUGAGGGUCAGCAAGGUCCAAUUAGAAACCAGAGUUCAGAGCAAGCCAGGUUCCCACCUAAUCCUCUGCUGAGCCCACUUGCUGGAAAGCCACUCUUCUGGGGGAUUGGAUUUCUUUGCCUACUCUGGAAUCCCCUGGCUUUGGGGGACCUCAGCAUAGGCGGCAGUCUGGAAUGAAAAGAAACCUUCUUUCAAUAAAGCACAAAGCCCCCUCCUGCCCGCUGAUCCCUGCGCUCCUGCCCCCUCUCAUUAACCCCUCCCUCCAUUUUUGCUCCAGGAGAUGCUUUGGAUUUCAGAGUGAGUCUGGGAAGGUGGAGGGGGUUGGGUAGGAGGGAGGCAGGAGGGCCUUCAUGGUGCUCAGCAGGGCAACCUGGAAAAUGCCAGUCAUGUAUUUUUAAUCUGCCUUCUCCUCUCUGAAUGGUAAAAAAAGCAAGAUGGCGGUGAGGUUUGACUGGCGUCCCUAAGGGGCACCGAAGGAGGCUGCAGUUUGAAGAGAGGAGCACCAGGGUCUUCACAGGCACAGCUGAACUCCUGACUCCACUGCUCCUUCCCUCCCUCUCGGGUGGCGGGACGCCUCCCCAAGAUAAGAGCCAUCAAUCAAGUACUUUGUCAGAGUGCUAAGCAAGGAGCUAAUUCAUGCCGCGAGGAAACUAUUUCUAUACACACUGUGAAAUAAAACAGAGGAAUGGUACUGUAAAAGUGAUAAAGAGCAUUUAAUAAAAAUACUAUUAU
rnacentral:lncRNA from 1 species